AGGAAGCUGCAACAUGUCAGGAAGGAUGAUGUGAGGACAGCUGUGAAGAGGAUCAAGAAUGGAAAGGCAGUUGAUCCAGAUGACAUUCCCAUGGACGCAUGGAAAUGUUUAGGA